rnacentral:tRNA from 1 species
AAGUAAGAAGCAAAUUCUUGCUUCUAGUUUCGGCCUAGAAAUCUGAUUAAAAAAUUAAUCCUUACUUU